rnacentral:rRNA from 1 species
GUCUUCUUGUUAUAUUUAAGAAGUCUGGCCUGCCCAGUGAAAAUAUUUUAACGGCCGCGGUAUAUUGACCGUGCAAAGGUAGCAUAAUCAUUAGUCUUUUAAUAGAGGGCUGGUAUGAAGGGUUUAACGAGGUGUUGACUGUCUCAUUUAAUUUGGAUUUAGAAUUUAAUUUUUUAGUUAAAAAGCUAAAAUUUUAUUGGAAGACGAGAAGACCCUAUAGAGCUUUAUAUUUAUAUUAUUAAUUAGAGGUUGAAUUAUUAUUACUUAUUAUUAAUAUUAAAUAUUUUGUUGGGGUGACAAAAAUAUAUAAUUAACUUUUUUAUUUAGUUAACAUUGAUUUAUGAAUAAUAGAUCCAAUCUUAUUGAUUGAUAGAUUAAGUUACCUUAGGGAUAACAGCGUAAUCCUCUUCCAGAGUUCAUAUUUACAAGAGGGCUUGCGACCUCGAUGUUGGAUUAAGAUAAUAAUUAGGUGUAGCCGCUUAAUUAAUAGGUCUGUUCGACCUUUAAAUUCUU